AAUUUAACGCAAUGUUAGUACAAAUAGCCCGUCGCCUUUGCUAAGCAAAACAAAGCAGAGUUAGUACAAAUAGCCCGUCGUCAAUUUAUGUUUAAUACAAUAAAUUUAAUCCUAAAAAGGUUGAAGUCAGGUAUUAUUGCCCUUAUGUUUUGGGGUUUGAUGCGUUAUAUUUUUUUAAUAAAAAAAAGAGAGUCCGGAUUGGCCCCGAACGGGGCCAUUGAAAAGCAGAGCGUUUCAUUGGCCCCGAACGGGGCUAUUGAAAAGCAGAGCGUUUCAAUGAAUUUAACGCAAUGUUAGUACAAAUAGCCCGUCGCCUUUGCUAAAGAAAACAAAGCAGAGUAAGUCGUAACAAGGUGAGGGUGAGGGAACUGGCCCUUG
rnacentral:rRNA from 1 species